GGCUAGUUGUAUUAUUAGGUUAAUGCAAGAUCGACUACGUCGACUAAAGUUCUAGGUAGAAUAAUGAUGAUGACAAUUUUUUACCUAUAUGUCUUGACCAAGUCUCGUGCCAGCAGUCGCGGUAAUACGUGGAAGACUAGUGUUAUUCAUCUUUAUUAGGUUUAAAGGGUACCUAGACGGUAUUUCUAGCCCAAAAUAGGGUACGGAUUUACUAGAGUUUUAUGUGAGGAGGGGAGUACUCGUGGAGUAGAGAUGAAAUUUUGUUAUACUAUGAGGUAACUGGUGGCGGCGAAAGCAACCUUCUAUGUAUAAACUGACGUUGAGGGACGAAGGCUUGGGUAGCAAAUAGGAUUAGAUACCCUAGUAGUCCAAGCAGACAAUUCUGAAUGCCAUAGAUUAGAUUUUUUUUGAUCUAUAAAUGAAAGUGUAAGCAUUCCACCUUAGGAGUAAUGUGGCAACACAGGAACUGAAAUCAUUAGACCGUUUCUGAAACCAGUAGUGAAGUAUGUUAUUUAAUUUGAUGGUCCACAAAAAACCUUACCACAACUUGAAUAUUUUGUAAUUAAUACAAGCGUUGCACGGCUGUCUUCAGUUAAUGUCGUGAGAUUUUGGUUAACUCCAUUAAUUAACGUAAACCCUUACUUUAUUUAU
rnacentral:rRNA from 1 species